rnacentral:rRNA from 1 species
AACGAACGCUGGCGGCAGGCUUAACACAUGCAAGUCGAACGCCCCGCAAGGGGAGUGGCAGACGGGUGAGUAACGCGUGGGAACAUACCCUUUCCUGCGGAAUAGCUCUGGGAAACUAGAAUUAAUACCGCAUACGCCCUACGGGGGAAAGAUUUAUCGGGGAAGGAUUGGCCCGCGUUGGAUUAGCUAGUUGGUGGGGUAAAGGCCUACCAAGGCGACGAUCCAUAGCUGGUCUGAGAGGAUGAUCAGCCACAUUGGGACUGAGACACGGCCCAAACUCCUACGGGAGGCAGCAGUGGGGAAUAUUGGACAAUGGGCGCAAGCCUGAUCCAGCCAUGCCGCGUGAGUGAUGAAGGCCCUAGGGUUGUAAAGCUCUUUCACCGAUGAAGAUAAUGACGGUAGUCGGAGAAGAAGCCCCGGCUAACUUCGUGCCAGCAGCCGCCGUAACAC